rnacentral:rRNA from 1 species
GUGCACCAGGCGAGAAUCCUCCGCAAUGCGGGAAACCGUGACGGGGUCACCCCGAGUGCCACCCGAUGAGGGUGGCUUUUCCCCGGUCUAAAAAGCCGGGGGCAAUAAGCGGGGGGCAAGUCUGGUGUCAGCCGCCGCGGUAAUACCAGCCCCGCGAGUGGUCGGGACGUUUAUUGGGCCUAAAGCGUCCGUAGCCGGCUCGGUAAGUCCCUCCUUAAAUCCACGGGCUCAACCCGUGGGCUGGGAGGGAUACUGCCGGGCUAGGGGGCGGGAGAGGCCGAGGGUACUCCCGGGGUAGGGGCGAAAUCCGUUAAUCCCGGGAGGACCACCAGUGGCGAAGGCGCUCGGCUGGAACGCGCCCGACGGUGAGGGACGAAGGCUGGGGGAGC